GAUGAACGCUGGCGGCGUGCCUAAUACAUGCAAGUCGAGCGAACGGACGAGAAGCUUGCUUCUCUGAUGUUAGCGGCGGACGGGUGAGUAACACGUGGACAACCUACCUAUAAGACUGGGAUAACUUCGGGAAACCGGAGCUAAUACCGGAUAAUAUUUUGAACCGCAUGGUUCAAAAGUGAAAGACGGUCUUGCUGUCACUUAUAGAUGGAUCCGCGCUGCAUUAGCUAGUUGGUAAGGUAACGGCUUACCAAGGCAACGAUGCAUAGCCGACCUGAGAGGGUGAUCGGCCACACUGGAACUGAGACACGGUCCAGACUCCUACGGGAGGCAGCAGUAGGGAAUCUUCCGCAAAGGGCGAAAGCCUGACGGAGCAACGCCGCGUGAGUGAUGAAGGUCUUCGGAUCGUAAAACUCUGUUAUUAGGGAAGAACAUAUGUGUAAGUAACUGUGCACAUCUCGACGGUACCUAAUCAGAAAGCCACGGCUAACUACGUG
rnacentral:rRNA from 1 species